CUGAAAGCCUGCGAGACAGUUGAUGGUGUCUGUUUUUAGGCGUGACUCCAAAGUGUGUCCUCCAGUGCCCUGGCUGCCUGCUAUCUCUGCUGACCCAAGGAUAAGCUCAUCAGGCGACAAUGGCUCCACUAGAGACAGAUGACACUGCUUUCCAAAAUGUUAUACUCACACAACGGAGCAGGCGUAGCAUCCCUGUUUGCUGCUCUCACGGAUGAGGAACGUUCCAGGAGCUUUCCCCUGAAGCAUCUCCUCGGCCUGCGUCCGGCUCAGUUCACCAACAAACCAACUCGUCUCAUCCUGAUGUGGCAAGUUCUUCUCGUCUCCCUUUAACACGUAUGUGCUGAUAAAAAACAAGAGCCGUCUUGUAACACCUCUGUAACAGUUCUGUAUUUCCUUUACAGUGGCAUUUGUUAAUACUGUAUUCAGAAGAAAUUUGUUAAAACUUACUCAUCAAGGCUUUCACUCUGCGUCCCCAGCCAAUCAUUUAUGCGUUUCUGCCGUACACCUUUGUGAUUGAGCCAGCUGCAAG